rnacentral:rRNA from 1 species
GACAGAGGAUGCAAGCGUUAUCCGGAAUGAUUGGGCGUAAAGCGUCUGUGGGUGGCUUUUCAAGUCCGCCGUCAAAUCCCAGGGCUCAACCCUGGACAGGCGGUGGAAACUACCAAGCUGGAGUACGGUAGGGGCAGAGGGAAUUUCCGGUGGAGCGGUGAAAUGCAUUGAGAUCGGAAAGAACACCAACGGCGAGAGCACUCUGCUGGGCCGACACUGACACUGAGGCGCGAAAGCUAGGGGAGCAAACGGG